GAUGAACGCUGGCGGCGUGCCUAAUACAUGCAAGUCGAGCGAACGGACGAGAAGCUUGCUUCUCUGAUGUUAGCGGCGGACGGGUGAGUAACACGUGGAUAACCUACCUAUAAGACUGGGAUAACUUCGGGAAACCGGAGCUAAUACCGGAUAAUAUUUUGAACCGCAUGGUUCAAAAGUAAAAGACGGUCUUGCUGUCACUUAUAGAUGGAUCCGCGCUGCAUUAGCUAGUUGGUAAGGUAACGGCUUACCAAGGCGACGAUGCAUAGCCGACCUGAGAGGGUGAUCGGCCACACUGGAACUGAGACACGGUCCAGACUCCUACGGGAGGCAGCAGUAGGGAAUCUUCCGCAAUGGGCGAAAGCCUGACGGAGCAACGCCGCGUGAGUGAUGAAGGUCUUCGGAUCGUAAAACUCUGUUAUUAGGGAAGAACAUAUGUGUAAGUAACUGUGCACAUCUUGACGGUACCUAAUCAGAAAGCCACGGCUAACUACGUG
rnacentral:rRNA from 1 species